rnacentral:lncRNA from 1 species
GCCCCGCCCCCUGCCGCCACGCGCUCUGCACCGCCUGCCUCUGCCGCCUGGCGCGCGACCAGGGCUGGGAGAAGGUCACGUGCCCCUUCUGCCGCACCCUCACCUCGCUGCGCGUGCGCGGCAGGGGCGGGGAGGCGGGGUCGAGGUGGCGGAGCAGCAGCAGCAGGCGCCGCCUGGCCCUGCCCCCCGUAGACCCUGAGCUCUGGAAGCGGAUUGGCCGGCGGGAAGGAGCGGGGGAGCAGGAGGAGGCGGCACCUGGCGAUGACGUACCGGAGGAGGCGGGCCAAUCGCGGCUGUGGCGGGCGCUGAAGAAGUUCUUGAGAGGAGGAGGGGGUGGCGGCAGCCGCAGUAGCGCGCGGCAGCGGCAGCCAAUCAACCCCUACGGUCCAGAGAUGAAGGACCUUGCCCUCAUGACCUGCUACAUCAUGUGAGGCUCCAAGGGCUAGCCCCAAGAGCUGGGGCUGGCUGUUCGUCAAAAGGCUUUGAAUGCUCUUGGGAGAAACCAGAGAUUCACGAGGCACCCGGGAUUGAUGUGAUCGCCUGCGGCCUUGACUCAUCACUGCUCAUCUCUGUUGGAGCACGGAGACUUGACGGGGGCUGUCGGGUCGAAUCAGCAGCAGAUAGGCAGAGGUGUCCCUUCCUGGAGAUCUCUGAACACCUGUCACCAUGAGGCCUGGUGGCUGAUCAUUUUGGAGGCUGGCAUCCCAACAGCUUGUCUGGUCCUGACAUCUUCAGCCCCUGAAAUGCCUACGUGUCUGGCUCUUCCACUCUCCACCUCUCUCUGCCAUAUAAAAUGCCAGCGAUGCCACUGACCUACCUACCAGCAGAUACUGUAAAUAUCUCUGGUGGAAAGUCCUGUACAGGCAAAAUCUGAGCCUCAAGUAUUAACGGAUUCAGACAGCAAGGUUAAGUCUGUGUACUAAUGAACUAGUUAAAAAUACCCCUCAAACCCAUGACCUCUUUCUCUGCGACUCCCAAUGAAAAGCCUAUUGCUGUGGUGGUGUUGCCAAAUUAUCUGCCAACCCUUAUCCUUUACCAUUGCGCAAGUUAGCAGCCCGAUCUGCAGGCAGAAUUCCUGUCUGGCCCCAGUUCCGGAGUGCUGCAUGUGACUAUAUUGCAUGAGGCGAGGGUUUCAGAUAAAGAGGCUGGCUUCUUGGUGCUCUCUGCUAUUGUAGCAUUUCUGUGAAAUGAAUUUAAAUAUUGAAGGGUUGGAAAUAGAGAAUGUCUGCAUCUGUUGUCUUUAAUAUUUGACUACUGUAACUUAUAUUUAAUUUUAAUAAAACCUGAGAUGUCAACGUUUAUUAGGUUGCC